GUUUCUCAACACCUGAGGCUCACCGGGGAGACAGUAACUCAUCGAGCUCGACCCCUGACCUCGCGGGAUCUCGGACAAUUGCACAGCGCAUUGGAGCCACGAGGUGAUAACAAAUGACUCAGCUGAAGUGGGGGGGAGGGGAUUCUACGCCGCACUCACUCACUCAUCCGUUCCACCACUACGCCAGGUCAACUUGGAGAUGAACUUUAAAGGAAGGUGUAACGAAUGAUCGCAGCCUCUCCGGCAAGUCGUAUCUGCUGAAGUGCCAUAACCCUCUAAAUAUCCUGACCUCAAUCUGGAGUCUGCAUGUUGAAGGCCCAUCGGAGAGGGAUGGUAUCGAUCUGAGCAGCAACUCUGGCAGCGUCUAUAAACAACCGGCUUCAGGCUUCAAGGCUGAGGAGAUACAUCUCUAUUUCAGCUGGAGGGUUUGCAUCUGGAUACCUGAGUUGGGAUGUGGCACUGGACAGAUGGUGGGAUUUCUUUUUUCUUUGCUGAACUCACAGCAGGUCCAGCUCAUUUGUGAGACCAGAGCCAGUGAUAUCCUCCGUAGUGCUGGUUCUAUCAAGGUAAAUAAGGCCUCGAACCACAAGCUCCACAUGUUUUGCUUUAAAUAAUCACAUUAAUGUUAAAGAGUAUUGUAAAUAGAAAGCUACAAAGCAACAGUCAAUAUGUGGACGAGUGAUCAAUUCCUAACCAGCAGACAAAUAGUGUUUGAAGAUCUUCUAUAUCAGCAUUACACUGACAGCCGACGUAGUGACUUUGGGGUCAUUAAUCAAUAAACACAAGCCAAGCAAUAUAUUUGACGUAGACUAAUUAAAUAAUAAUCAUCAUCAUCAUCAGGCAAAACAAAAACAUUC